rnacentral:rRNA from 1 species
AGCGAACGCUGGCGGCAGGCUUAACACAUGCAAGUCGAGCGGGCCCUUCGGGGUCAGCGGCGGACGGGUGAGUAACGCGUGGGAAUGUGCCUUCUGGUCUGGAAUAACCCUGGGAAACUAGGGCUAAUACCGGAUACGCCCUUUUGGGGAAAGGUUUACUGCCGGAAGAUCGGCCCGCGUCUGAUUAGCUAGUUGGUGGGGUAACGGCCUACCAAGGCGACGAUCAGUAGCUGGUCUGAGAGGAUGAUCAGCCACACUGGGACUGAGACACGGCCCAGACUCCUACGGGAGGCAGCAGUGGGGAAUAUUGGACAAUGGGCGCAAGCCUGAUCCAGCCAUGCCGCGUGAGUGAUGAAGGCCUUAGGGUUGUAAAGCUCUUCUAUCCGGGACGAUAAUGACGGUACCGGAGGAAUAAGCCCCGGCUAACUUCGUG